UACGUAUGGGGCAAGCGUUAUCCGGAUUUACUGGGUGUAAAGGGAGCGUAGGCGGCUUAGCAAGCCUGAUGUGAAAUACCGGGGCUCAACCCCGGGGCUGCAUUGGGAACUGUUAGGCUGGAGUGCCGGAGAGGCAGGCGGAAUUCCUAGUGUAGCGGUGAAAUGCGUAGAUAUUAGGAGGAACACCAGUGGCGAAGGCGGCCUGCUGGACGGUGACUGACGCUGAGGCUCGAAAGCGUGGGGAGCAAACA
rnacentral:rRNA from 1 species